rnacentral:rRNA from 1 species
AUUGAACGCUGGCGGCAGGCUUAACACAUGCAAGUCGAGCGGGGGAAGUUGCUUCGGUAAUUGACCUAGCGGCGGACGGGUGGGUCAUACUUAGGAAUGUGACUAUUAGUGGGGGACAACAUGUCGAAAGGGAUGCUAAUAUCGCAUACGCCCUACGUGGGCACGGAGGGGAUCACUUGUGAGCUUGCGUUAAUAGAUGAGCGUAGGUCGGAUUAGCUAGUUGUUGGUGUAAAGGCCUACCAAGGCGACGAUCUGUAGCGGGUCUGAGAGGAUGAUCCGCCACACUGGGACUGAGACACGGCCCAGACUCCUACGGGAGGCAGCAGUGGGGAAGAUUGGACAAUGGGGUGAACCCUGAUCCAGCCAUGCCGCGUGUGUGAAGAAGGCCUUAUGGUUGUAAAGCACUUUAAGCUAGGACGAGGCUCUUUUGGUUAAUACCCACGAUGAGUGGACGUUACUCGCAGAAUAAGCACCGGCUAACUCUGUGCCAGCCGCCGCGGUAACAC